CGUCAACUGUCACCGCCGACACCGGGUGCGUGCGUGUGGAGCAGUGAAGCCAAGCCAGCCGACUCCAGAGUCCAGACUCGACAGAAAACGCAGUUAGAGGAAACUUCACCCCAAGCAGACGUUGAGGACCAGAUUUCUCUGCCAAGCACUCUAAGACUCAUCAUGCUCGGAGAGUCCAUUCUGGGGGCAAAUAGGUGGAUGCUUUCCAUCGAGGGCAGAGUUCUCCAACCAAAUCCAACUGAGUGACCGUUUCGAAUUCACUUCUGCUCUGGCUGUCCUUUUUGCAUCAUACUAUAUAUUUAACAUGGAAUAUCCUGCGGAGGCAGCCACCACAUUAGAAUGUAUCCAGAGGGUAGAAGACUCCAGCCCAGGAAAUUGUCUAAUUCAGGCCCGUUUCUGAAGAAAAAUACAGUUCUGGGAGAAAAACAACAUUCAGGGACCAAAUUCUACUGUUUGAAAUCCUGCUGUUUUUAAAUAAUUAAAUUUGCCUUUUAUACAUUCUAAUUUUAACCGAACAUAUUAAUCCAUUUGAACAGGAUUGAUUUGUAUGUUCAGAAAAGUGUUGUUGUAUACAAAACUAAAUGAAAUGUUAACAGACAAAUGUUUACCUAUUGAAGAUUUUUU